CCUACGGGAGGCAGCAGUAACGAAUAUUCCGCAAUGGACGAAAGUCUGACGGAGCAUGCCGCGUGCAGGAUGAAGCGGUUUCGCCGUGUAAACUGCUGUCAGGGGCAGGAAAAACUGAUCCGCCCCAAAGGAAGAGACGGCUAACCCUGUGCCAGCAGCCGCGGUAAUACAGGGGUCUCGAGCGUUAAUCGGAAUCACUGGGCUUAAAGGGUGCGUAGGCGGAUCCGUAAGCGCUUUGUGAAAUCCCCCGGCUCAACCGGGGAACUGCAGGGCGAACUGUGGAUCUUGAGGAAACUAGAGGCCGGUAGAACGAUUGGUGGAGCGGUGGAAUGCGUAGAUAUCAAUCGGAAUGCCAAAAGUGAAGACAGCCGGCUGGGGUUUUCCUGACGCUGAGGCACGAAAGCGUGGGGAGCAAACCGGAUUAGAUACCCGGGUAGUCCACGCCCUAAACGAUGCACACUAGACCGGAGCGGCUCUGACGUCGUUCUGGUCGUAGAGAAAUUGAUAAGUGUGCCGCCUGGGGAGUACGGUCGCAAGGCUAAAACUCAAAUGAAUUGACGG
rnacentral:rRNA from 1 species